UAGCUUUACUUGAAAAUUCCAUCUUUUGCACUAGUCACCAAAAAGAUGGAGAAUUAAAAGCACCUAUUGUGCAGAUUUCUUGAAAAUGUGCUGAGGAGACAUGAAGACGGGCAGAGAUGUGUGAAGAAACCAGUACAAUUGGAGGUACAACUGGAAAUGAGACAAGUUUACCUUUAAAAACAGAUCUGAUGGAAGACAACACAAGUAUUUAAUUUGAAGCUACUUCAACAACAACAACAACAAACAACAGCAACAAAACAGCUUUUCUGAACAAGACUGCCUUCAACUGUCAGAUAACUCCAGUACCACUGGAAAAGCACUAUCCAAAGACAUGAGUUGUUAUGAUGCAAUCAUUCCAGGUGGGUGCUCAUUCUGCUGUGACACCUCUAGCUUUCCACAAAAUGACAAGUUUUGUUGUAGCUCCUUGUACACAGAGACAACCAGAAGACUGGAAGAUACUUUCCAGCAAAUAGAUGACCUAGGAUCUUCCCUUAGAACACGUAUCUGCAAUGUGCUGUUGAAAUUAGCCUUUUAAAACGAGCCUUAGAAACAUUUGUCAGGUUGUUAUUUUAUUCCCUUUACUAGUUUUCUUUACAAAAAUGUGAUAGGUUGACUUUGGCAAAAUACUAGACACCCAUCCAGCCAAUCUCUCACUCCCUUCAGCAGGACAGUGGGGGAAAAUAAGACAGAAGAGCUUGCAGGUUGAGAUAAA